CAGUAGCCGCGGUAAUACGUAGGGUGCGAGCGUUAAUCGGAAUUACUGGGCGUAAAGCGUGCGCAGGCGGUUCGUUAAGACAGAUGUGAAAUCCCCGGGCUUAACCUGGGAACUGCAUUUGUGACUGGCGAGCUAGAGUAUGGCAGAGGGGGGUAGAAUUCCACGUGUAGCAGUGAAAUGCGUAGAGAUGUGGAGGAAUACCGAUGGCGAAGGCAGCCCCCUGGGCCAAUACUGACGCUCAUGCACGAAAGCGUGAGGAGCAAACAGGAUUAGAUACCCCGGUAGUCCCUGUCUCUUAUAC
rnacentral:rRNA from 1 species